rnacentral:rRNA from 1 species
CAGUAGCCGCGGGAAUACGGAGGGUGCAAGCGUUUAUCGGAAUUACUGGGCGUAAAGCGCACGCAGGCGGUCUGUCAAGUCAGAUGUGAAAUCCCCGGGCUUAACCUGGGAACUGCAUUUGAAACUGGCAGGCUAGAGUCUUGUAGAGGGGGGUAGAAUUCCAGGUGUAGCGGUGAAAUGCGUAGAGAUCUGGAGGAAUACCGGUGGCGAAGGCGGCCCCCUGGACAAAGACUGACGCUCAGGUGCGAAAGCGUGGGGAGCAAACAGGAUUAGAUACCCGCGUAGUCCCUGUCUCUUAUAC